AUCACAGACGUCCCUCCGGAGGGGAAGAAAAGAUGGCCAAGGGCAAAGGGCAAAAAGCGCGGGAUGUAAAAACAAAUGUCCACAGACAGUAAGGACUGAAGCGAAAAGAAGCAAAAAUCUCGUAAUACCAGUUUGCAUGGCCCCUUAACAACUGCUUAUUCGUCUAAAUUACAGUAAAUCUAGAAUUCAGUAGAAGAACAGACCUACUGCUGAUGAGCACAGCUAUCAGACCUCUUCAGAGAAGUUUCUUUGUGCAGUGGACAGCGGGAACUCACAACUGGUUAAAGUGCAAAGA